UGGACAGGGUAACCUGGCGGGCUGUGGUCACAAAGAGUCAGACUCGACUGAGGAGCAGCAGCACCAGCAUUCUGAAGACUUACACAUAAUAUGUCUACUUAUUUUUCCUUCUUAUCGAGGAGAAAAGACAUGGAAGAACCUGGCAAGUUCAGAGGGCUUCUCUGGGAACGUGAGCUGAGAUGUAAAGUAUACGCCUUCCAAUAGGAGGCAUGGUUUGAUCUCUGGAUCAGGAAGAUACACUGGAAAAGGAAAUGUCAACCCACUCCAGUAUUCUUACCCCGCAAUGAUUUUAGAGCCUAAGAAAGUAAAGUCUGUCAUUGUUU